CUUCUUGUAUGAAUAGGAAGUCGUGCCUGCCCACUGAAUAUAGGAUUGAAGGGCCGCGGUAUUUUGACCGUGCAAAGGUAGCAUAAUCAUUAGUCUUUUAAUUGGGGACUGGAAUGAAUGGUUUGACGAAACGAUGGCUGUCUUUUUAAUAUUUAUUUGAAUUUUACUUUUAAGUUAAAAGGCUUAAAUAAUGAAGGGGGACGAGAAGACCCUAUAGAUCUUUAUUUUUAACUGAUAAUGUAUUUUUUGGUAGUGUAUAUUAUUAUUUGUGAUAAAAUUGUGUUGGGGUGACGAGAGAAUAAGUAAAACUUCUUUAUAAUUAAACAUUGAUUUAUGAGUUUAAGAUCCUUUAUUAUGGAUUUAAGAUUAAGAUACCUUAGGGAUAACAGCGUAAUUUUAUUUGAGAGUUCUUAUCGACAAUAAAGAUUGCGACCUCGAUGUUGGAUUAAGAUGACUAAUUGGUGUAGUAGCUGAUGUUGUUAGUCUGUUC
rnacentral:rRNA from 1 species